CAGCACCUCAAGUGGUCAGGAUGAUUAUUGGGUCUAAAGCAUCCGUAGCCUGCUUUGUUAGUUUUCGGUUAAAUCCAUACGCUCAACGUAUGGGCUGCCGGGAAUACUGCAAAGCUAGGGAGUGGGAGAGGUAGACGGUACUCGGUAGGAAGGGGUAAAAUCCUUUGAUCUAUUGAUGACCACCUGUGGCGAAGGCGGUCUACCAGAACACGUCCGACGGUGAGGGAUGAAAGCUGGGGGAGCAAACCGGAUUAGAGACCCGAGUAGUCC
rnacentral:rRNA from 1 species